ACGACCGCAUCAUAUUGAAACAUUGGUUCCUGUACGAUCACCGAAGUUUAGCAACAUAGAGUCUGGUCAUACUUAGAUCGGUGACUGCUUGGGAAUACCAGGUGUUGUG
rnacentral:rRNA from 1 species